rnacentral:tRNA from 1 species
CAUAAUAUAGUUUAUUUAAAAUAUUAAUUUUGGAAAUUAAUGAAAAUUAAUUAUAAUUUAUUUUGA